rnacentral:rRNA from 1 species
UACGAAGGGGGGCUAGCGUUGUUCGGAUUUACUGGGCGUAAAGCGCACGUAGGCGGAUCGUUAAGUCGGGGGUGAAAUCCUGGAGCUCAACUCCAGAACUGCCUUCGAUACUGGCGAUCUUGAGUCCGGAAGAGGUGAGUGGAAUUCCUAGUGUAGAGGUGGAAUUCGUAGAUAUUAGGAAGAACACCAGUGGCGAAGGCGGCUCACUGGUCCGGUACUGACGCUG